GUCUUGAUGAAGAGUCCCAAAUCAGGACGAAACAGAUGUCCAGUAC
rnacentral:hammerhead_ribozyme from 1 species